rnacentral:rRNA from 1 species
UUAAGUGAAUAAGGGCGCACGGUGGAUGCCUUGGCACUAGGAGCCGAUGAAGGACGGGACUAACACCGAUAUGCUUUGGGGAGCUGUAAGUAAGCUAUGAUCCAGAGAUUUCCGAAUGGGGGAACCCAAUAUCUUUUAUAGGAUAUUACUUUUCAGUGAAUACAUAGCUGAUUAGAGGUAGACGCAGAGAACUGAAACAUCUUAGUACCUGCAGGAAGAGAAAGAAAAUUCGAUUCCCUGAGUAGCGGCGAGCGAAACGGGAAGAGCCCAAACCAACAAGCUUGCUUGUUGGGGUUGUAGGACUCCGAUAUGGUAGUCUGUUAGUAUAGUUGAAGGAUUUGGAAAAUUCCGCUAAAGAGGGUGAAAGCCCCGUAGACGAAAUGCUGACAACACCUAGGAGGAUCCUGAGUACGGCGGAACACGAGAAAUUCCGUCGGAAUCCGCGGGGACCAUCCCGCAAGGCUAAAUACUCCCUAGUGACCGAUAGUGAACCAGUACCGUGAGGGAAAGGUGAAAAGCACCCCGGAAGGGGAGUGAAAUAGAUCCUGAAACCGUGUGCCUACAACAAGUCAAAGCUCGUUAAUGAGUGAUGGCGUGCCUUUUGUAGAAUGAACCGGCGAGUUACGAUUGCAUGCGAGGUUAAGUCGAAGAGACGGAGCCGCAGCGAAAGCGAGUCUGAAUAGGGCGAAUGAGUAUGUAGUCGUAGACCCGAAACCAUGUGAUCUACCCAUGUCCAGGUUGAAGGUGCGGUAAAACGCACUGGAGGACCGAACCCACGUACGUUGAAAAGUGCGGGGAUGAGGUGUGGGUAGCGGAGAAAUUCCAAACGAACUUGGAGAUAGCUGGUUCUCUCCGAAAUAGCUUUAGGGCUAGCCUCGGAAUUGAGAAUGAUGGAGGUAGAGCACUGUUUGGACUAGGGGCCCAUCUCGGGUUACCGAAUUCAGAUAAACUCCGAAUGCCAUUCAUUUAUAUCCGGGAGUCAGACUGCGAGUGAUAAGAUCCGUAGUCGAAAGGGAAACAGCCCAGACCACCAGCUAAGGUCCCAAAAUAUAUGUUAAGUGGAAAAGGAUGUGGGGUUGCACAGACAACUAGGAUGUUGGCUUAGAAGCAGCCACCAUUUAAAGAGUGCGUAAUAGCUCACUAGUCGAGUGACCCUGCGCCGAAAAUGUACCGGGGCUAAACAUAUUACCGAAGCUGUGGACUACACCAUUAGGUGUAGUGGUAGGAGAGCGUUCUAAGGGCGUUGAAGGUCGAUCGUGAGGACGGCUGGAGCGCUUAGAAGUGAGAAUGCCGGUAUGAGUAGCGAAAGACAGGUGAGAAUCCUGUCCACCGUAUGACUAAGGUUUCCUGGGGAAGGCUCGUCCGCCCAGGGUUAGUCGGGACCUAAGCCGAGGCCGAUAGGCGUAGGCGAUGGACAACAGGUUGAUAUUCCUGUACCAGUUGUUUUUGUUUGAGCAAUGGAGGGACGCAGUAGGCUAAGGAAUGCAUGCGAUUGGAAGUGCAUGUCCAAGCAAUGAGUCUUGAGUAGAGUUAAAUGCUUUACUCUUUAAGGACAAGUUGUGACGGGGAGCGAAAUAAUAGUAGCGAAGUUCCUGAUGUCACACUGCCAAGAAAAGCUUCUAGUGAGAAAACAACUGCCCGUACCGUAAACCGACACAGGUAGUCGAGGAGAGUAUCCUAAGGUGAGCGAGCGAACUCUCGUUAAGGAACUCGGCAAAAUGACCCCGUAACUUCGGGAGAAGGGGUGCUGACUUCGGUCAGCCGCAGUGAAUAGGCCCAAGCGACUGUUUAUCAAAAACACAGGUCUCUGCAAAAUCGUAAGAUGAAGUAUAGGGGCUGACGCCUGCCCGGUGCUGGAAGGUUAAGAGGAUGGGUUAGCUUCGGCGAAGCUCAGAAUUGAAGCCCCAGUAAACGGCGGCCGUAACUAUAACGGUCCUAAGGUAGCGAAAUUCCUUGUCGGG